rnacentral:rRNA from 1 species
GUCUACAGCCAUACCACCCUGAACGCGCCUGAUCUCGUCUGAUCUCGGAAGCUAAGCUAAGGGUCGGGCCUGGUUAGUACUUGGAUGGGAGAAUGAGCUUUUAAAUC